rnacentral:rRNA from 1 species
GUCGCAAGACCAAAGUGGGGGACCUUCGGGCCUCAUGCCAUCAGAUGUGCCCAGAUGGGAUUAGCUAGUAGGUGGGGUAACGGCUCACCUAGGCGACGAUCCCUAGCUGGUCUGAGAGGAUGACCAGCCACACUGGAACUGAGACACGGUCCAGACUCCUACGGGAGGCAGCAGUGGGGAAUAUUGCACAAUGGGCGCAAGCCUGAUGCAGCCAUGCCGCGUGUGUGAAGAAGGCCUUCGGGUUGUAAAGCACUUUCAGCGGGGAGGAAGGCGUUAAGGUUAAUAACCUUGUCGAUUGACGUUACCCGCAGAAGAAGCACCGGCUAACUCCGUGCCAGCAGCCGCGGUAAUACGGAGGGUGCAAGCGUUAAUCGGAAUUACUGGGCGUAAAGCGCACGCAGGCGGUCUGUCAAGUCGGAUGUGAAAUCCCCGGGCUCAACCUGGGAACUGCAUUCGAAACUGGCAGGCUAGAGUCUUGUAGAGGGGGGUAGAAUUCCAGGUGUAGCGGUGAAAUGCGUAGAGAUCUGGAGGAAUACCGGUGGCGAAGGCGGCCCCCUGGACAAAGACUGACGCUCAGGUGCGAAAGCGUGGGGAGCAAACAGGAUUAGAUACCCUGGUAGUCCACGCCGUAAACGAUGUCGAUUUGGAGGUUGUGCCCUUGAGGCGUGGCUUCCGGAGCUAACGCGUUAAAUCGACCGCCUGGGGAGUACGGCCGCAAGGUUAAAACUCAAAUGAAUUGACGGGGGCCCGCACAAGCGGUGGAGCAUGUGGUUUAAUUCGAUGCAACGCGAAGAACCUUACCUGGUCUUGACAUCCACAGAACUUUCCAGAGAUGGAUUGGUGCCUUCGGGAACUGUGAGACAGGUGCUGCAUGGCUGUCGUCAGCUCGUGUUGUGAAAUGUUGGGUUAAGUCCCGCAACGAGCGCAACCCUUAUCCUUUGUUGCCAGCGGUUAGGCCGGGAACUCAAAGGAGACUGCCAGUGAUAAACUGGAGGAAGGUGGGGAUGACGUCAAGUCAUCAUGGCCCUUACGACCAGGGCUACACACGUGCUACAAUGGCAUAUACAAAGAGAAGCGACCUCGCGAGAGCAAGCGGACCUCAUAAAGUAUGUCGUAGUCCGGAUUGGAGUCUGCAACUCGACUCCAUGAAGUCGGAAUCGCUAGUAAUCGUAGAUCAGAAUGCUACGGUGAAUACGUUCCCGGGCCUUGUACACACCGCCCGUCACACCAUGGGAGUGGGUUGCAAAAGAAGUAGGUAGCUUAACCUUCGGGAGGGCGCUUACCACUUUGUGAUUCAUGACUGGGGUGAAGUCGUAACAAGGUAACCGUAGGGGAACCUGCGGUUGGAUCACCUCCUUACCUUAAAGAA